ensembl:snoRNA
UUGGAUAUGAUGAGAAUUUGGUGGCUUGAGCUCUAUUAUAUGAUGAGCCAUGUAUUCGUACUGUCUGAUCCAG